AGUGAACGCUGGCGGUAGGCCUAACACAUGCAAGUCGAACGGCAGCACAGUAAGAGCUUGCUCUUACGGGUGGCGAGUGGCGGACGGGUGAGGAAUACAUCGGAAUCUACUUUUUCGUGGGGGAUAACGUAGGGAAACUUACGCUAAUACCGCAUACGACCUACGGGUGAAAGCAGGGGAUCUUCGGACCUUGCGCGAUUGAAUGAGCCGGUGUCGGAUUAGCUAGUUGGCGGGGUAAAGGCCCACCAAGGCGACGAUCCGUAGCUGGUCUGAGAGGAUGAUCAGCCACACUGGAACUGAGACACGGUCCAGACUCCUACGGGAGGCAGAAGUGGGGAAUAUUGGACAAUGGGCGAAAGCCUGAUCCAGCCAUACCGCGUGGGUGAAGAAGGCCUUCGGGUUGUAAAGCCCUUUUGUUGGGAAAGAAAAGCAGCAGGUUAAUACCCCGCUGUUCUGACGGUACCCAAAGAAUAAGCACCGGCUAACUUCGUG
rnacentral:rRNA from 1 species